GGUUGCUAUUAAGUUAUGAUUGUACCUCUGUUCGGGUUAAUGAAGAACCGAGGGUAAUAGAUAUAUGGAAACACAGGAAAAAGAAUAAUAGGAAAGUGGACGAGAAAUGCGGCCAUCAUGAAACACAGAGUGCUAUGUCGGUACAUUAGGUAUGAUGUACCCCGUGGUAUGUAGAAAGAUGUCAAUGUCCCAAGACUUACAUUUGGAAAUGUGAUUAUUUGCUUGAAGUCAAAGGUACAAACAUAAAUCGAUAGCAACCAAAGGUCAGUGGGACGCCUCGCGUUUAGCGCUCAUGGGAAUCCUACAAAUGAAGCCGCACAGGGUGAUAUGGGCUGGGCAAGUUUUGAAGUGAGCGAAGCUCAUGGUAAAAUUGAUUUUGAAGAACAACUGAGGAGUAUCAAAGAAAGUAAAUGUGUUGUUAGAGUGUCUGGCCACCGCCUGAGGAAGCGAGGCUUCGGUGAGGCUAGUCUCCCGGCCCCCCGCCUCUUUUGACCCCAGCAAGAACUUUCAGUAAAGUUUUUUUUUUUUUUUCUCUGUCACUCUCCAUACAACUAGGCCUUUCUGUUCCUUUACUCGACACAUUUCCUUGCCCUGUAUUGACGCAAUCUCUUUCUCACAGGAGUGCUACUGCCUCUCUGGAGCGUUGUACUAAAUAUUUACAAGAGUGGAAUUAAGUUAGAGUGGGCGCUGAAAUAAAUAAUACCAAUUCGAAGAGUGAUGCUGCACGUAAUAGACCAAGAACAUCGGUUUUCGACAAUGUUCUGGAACAAAUGAAGCUGGAUAUGAGGAACCAGCCUGACAACGAAUCAACGAAUUCGUUGAUGGGGCCCACAAUUGUCGUCUAUACAACGGUCGAACGGACGGACGGACUAAGGAUACCCCGCUUCGAGCACCUAACUUCUGUCAGGUUUUUCUGCUUACGGAGAAGGCCGCCGAAAACAUUUGCAUCGUUCAAGCACAGAAACUGGAAGAAACGAAAAAAUAAAAGGAAAAGCCGACCCGCAUCAAGCAUGCGCAUUGUUCACACAACUCUCUCAGCCUCUGUAGGCAGUGUUCCUGGAGCGUCGUGUCGGAGCAAAUAACGACGACGGCGAGGCUUCAGCGCUGACUUCCAGUGUGGGCAUCCGUGGACUAUCGUGCGGAGUUCCGUCAUGGUCCGCAUGCGUGGUCAAGUAACGCAGCCUCCGCAAGACCGACAUCUUUCGGCUCCGGCCAGACUGCUUCGUGCAGCAGGAGAGACUCGAGCGAGUGGCCGUGGUCACCUGCAAGGCCGAGGGGCCUUCCGCGGCCACUUCAGCAGCAGUACGCCAGGCCGCGGACACGGGCUUCAAUGACGCGAGUGCUUCAGCAGUGGUGCACGAGAACAUCCAUGACGGUCUAUAGGCAGGUCAACUGCCGAAGACCUCGAGUGGCGGGAGCACAGCGGCCACUCUAGCCACCUCUUGAUGUCCCAGCAUCUAGGGUUAUGAAUACUGGUACCACCACCAGGGGCUGCUUGCACGGACGUUCAAUAACGAAAAGUAUAUCGAAUUUAAGAACGCAUUCUCCCGCUGACUCGGCGUCAUCUAUGGACCAUUUAAGGACGCGUACCUAAAUUCGUUAUUAUUUUCGUAAUUAAAUGUCCGUGGAAGCCGCUCCAGCUCAAUGGCAGCACGUCGCGUGCACGGAUUCGUACCCCGCAAAGCGUGGACUUAGAGCUUUCGAGCUGCGCGUGUAGUGUCGAGCAAGCAUUCGUGUUUAGUUGAGCCCGAUAAAUGCAAAACUUCUUGGCCCCCUCCUCUCACACCCCCGUAACGUGCAGAAUAACCAGCACAACGUGACGUAGGAAUAAACCAGCACCGAGGCGCUGAAGAAUUUAAACGAAGCCAGCGGUAAGAAGUCAUUGACCGAACAUGAAUCAGAAGGAGAAAAAUAGCAAACGUGCAUUUCUAUUUCCACCCCCGCGGAGAAGCACUUCCACAAACGAAGACGAACUUAUUCUCUUAUACGCAAAAAGAGAUUGCCUGUUCGCAUCAGCGAGUCCUGACACGAAGCAAAGGCACACGAAACCGUGCGAGACGUACUGCGCAUAAUAUUGCGUUGUUGCUACGCGUUACGGCCGAAGCUGCAGUUUUGUUUUCACCUGACCGAUACACAGAGCGAGAAGGUUUACAUAUACCAGCAGAGGUUAGCCUAGCGACAGGUUUGGCACUCUACUCCAGGUGAGAUCGUAAAGGAUAAGGAAAGGUGGGAAGCGUGAAUCUUCCUUAUCGAAAAUUUCGAUUGUUCUUACGGCUAAGCGCAUGCGGCACAAGGAUCUUCGAGUUUCAUCAUUUCAUCUUUCGCGAAAUCUGCAAGAGAAUCUAAGUGUAUCUCCCGUUUUUCUUUUUGUUGUUAGAAUUUAAUAGUUUCAGAAAGAGAAAAAGCAACAACAAGGCGUAAUUCGUGGGAAUACCGAAUCGAUGGCAGUAUUGCUAGACAGAAUUGCGAGUCGGCGCUGGAAAGUAGGGCACAAAGGCUCAAGCAUGAAAUCAGCUGCUUAUACGAAGCGCCGGCCCUUACCAAUCUUCUCUAUACCGAAGUGCUCAAAUUUGGCCGUCUUAUAGGGCAUUCGUGUCAUUGGCUCAGGAGAUUGGAAGUGCGAAUAAACGCUGAAGAUAAAGAUGGCCCCUUCAAGGAUGUGGGCAAGGCAAUUUCUAGUAAUCUGGCAACAAGAAAUAAAAAAGAAAGUAUAGCGGCAAUGCCUACGCCAUAUACCGCGAACAGACAGCAAAGUAGAGGCGAACGAUGGAAAGAAAAAUAAAAUAAACAAGAGCUUGACUCAACUGCGUGCAGGAUCAGGUACGCGUAUGUCAAACACAGGGCGUGGCCCCUUUCAAUCCGAGCAGCGUGACCUUGGCACGGGGCUUUGUUGGCUAAGGCGGCUUUCCCACUCGAAAGUGCGGUUGGUUGACGUUUAACAGCGUUCACUGACAAGCAGUGAUCAGGUUUAAGGUGUCCGUUUACUGGAUCCGAUCCAAAUAACUGGAGCUACGCCCGCAAACUGUGUACAAAUUGCCCUCUCGUCACAAGUUCGUUCAAGAGAUUUCACUUCGAUUCCAUGCAGUCAUUACAUUCUAAUAGAUGCAGCGACGCCAUCGAGCGGCAUAGAGAGAUGGAAAUUUUAUUAGUAUGGCGUGUGUUUUCCAUUCCGCCAGUUCGCAAUGUGCCAUCCGAAUGACAUGGAGAGGCUGGUGAAACAUGAACGUGAAGCCCGGAUACAGAAAGAAGGCCAGGUGCGGGAGUAAUGGGCCGCUCCAUCUCUCAAUAGCAUUCAGCGGCUGGCCUGCACUGUGUAGGUUAUCAAGCGGGCAAAAAAACCCAGGUUCAGGCUCCAAACGAGUAAGAAAAACUGAGAACAUUGAGGUUUGACAAAACUUCCAUCAUUAUCAUUAUCAUCAUAAAGAGAACAAUUUCAGUACGAAGGCCCCUUCCAGCGGUGUCCAAUUUCCCCUGGCAUAUGGUGCACGUGGUGAAUGCGCCAAUGAUAUACUCCCAGAAUUUUGUCGCUUCAUCAGUUUAUGAAAUAGUCAAUUGGUACUGUUUCCUUUCCCUUAGAAAUUUGUCAUCUAGUAGACUACUAUUUAUCAGUUUUUCAUGCUAGACAUCCUAACCAAUUUCACUUCACCCGUUGUUUGAUUCCUGAAACUUGGACUCCGAGAGCGCAACGGCGCGCGCCGGUGUGAACUUGGAGGCCCCGCCUACACAAUGCUGCUCUAUGAUGGAUGCUGUUGUUGUGUCAACUUUACUACAUCUAUAAAGUAUAUCCUUAUAUGAUUUACACAGUGGCUUCAGGCAACGCCUAAAUUUUAUGCGUCUAUAAAGCUCUUAAGUACAAAUACAGCCUCUAGCUAUAGUAGUGAUCUUAGCAAGGAAGAGGAAACAAAGAGAGAAGGCAGGGAUGUUAACCAGAAAUGCGUCUGGUUGGCUAACCUACUCUGGGGGACGGGAAAGAGGGAAUAGAAAGAUGAGACAGAGAAGGCACGGGGGAGGAAAGACGCAUAAUCGUGAAGUAUAGACUCCAUGCAAGCCAUCUUGCACACGAUGGCGACAAGCGACGCGAUGGAGUGGGCUGUCGCGUUCGCUCGACGCCGACAAGUCGCAUCCCGACUCGAGCGAUGACACUUAGCGACGUCUCCUCGGUAUUGCCGGUAUGAGGGCAGCAAAUGCGGGCUGAAACUUGCGUGACACGUGCAUUAAUGAUGUAAGUUUAUGUGUUUUACUGUAAAGAGUAGCACAAAAUAUUUCUGAAGGUCGCGCAGUAUGGGCUUAUCCUUGAACGUAUCAAAAUUUAGUCGUUUGCCCGUUCCGUGCGCCAAUCGGUAGUUCUUGACUGAUGUAAAUCCAGUUGCGGCUUCACGCUGUUGGCUGGUCGAUCAUAGUACUUCCGGGCGACGAGCAACGAGCUCUAGAUUUCCAGCACCGAGUGAUGGAGCAACAAGAACGAGAGAUCUGUUCGGGAGACGGCCCGUUUCGUCGCUCGAAGCCGUCGCUUAUCGCCGUCGCACACAAAAUCGCUCUGAUGGGGUCUGGGCUUAACUUUCGUGCAUGACCGGGCCAUUGUUCUGCCUUCACAUGUUCGGUAUUACCAUGAACCUCGAGUCCACACACUAAACACCACAUUCCUUUCACUUUUGCGAGAUUCAGACACCCAGUGCAUUUUACAUGUUUCACUAAGGCAUCAGCAUGAAACCUACUAUGUAUUAAACUCUAGGAAAGACUAAAGCUAGGACAAUGUGCUGGGCUUUUGCAGCAGUAAUAAACAAAAUUUUCAUUUUGUGUUUCCCAGCCGCUUCACACAAGCACUGUAAUUCUAUAUUUUAAAUAUACUUAUUUUGAAACUUGGAAUAGGAAGCGUAAGGAGUUGUACAAGGGGGAUUACAGAGUUAAGUGCUCGCAGACUGCCGCCUCAGUGCCGUUGUUUUUACAAAACUUCCAUCAGCGAUGUCUAACAAAUGCCAUUGGUCAUCGCUGUAUUGCCCGUCUCGUAAUAAAGGUCACCUCUAUAACGUGAGUGACUGGCCCCCAAACACCGGACAAAAAUGAAGUGGCGUUGAUGUUAAGAGUCUGACCAACUCUCGCUUGGUCAAAAAGAAUCGUGAAGAAAACUAUACGGACGCUGACCAAGACGAAGACAUUAAUGAAAACCUGACGUUAAAGCCCCGGCGCGGGUCAUGUACCAUUGAGUAAGGCGCCAGGCUCGGCUGUGCGAGGUGUGUGGUUACCUUUCCCCCCCAACCCCACCGCCAGACACCACCCCCCAGCCAGGCGUCUGGCUUUCCUGGGGUGCGUUGCUUAGCAGAGGUUCACGCAGACCGAAUGCUUGCUGUGCAAGAGCUAAAACAAAAACAGCAACUCACAACUUUCGUCCAACGUCGUCUGUUUUAUAAUUUAAUAAUCUUGGUCAGCGUCUGUUACGUUUUUUUUUUCUUAAGGAAGUUGCCGUGUUUAGAAUCUUUGCGGAAACGAGCACCAAUGCAUUGCUACAAUGCAGUAUGCGUCUCACAUAUGUGCAAAUUUUUGUUUCGGACUGAGCAACGUGGUCUCUGCAGUCUCGCAGUCGGCGCGGUCGUCUCCGAAGUGUUGGUUUCCCAUUAAUGCACGUCCUUCUGCAAGAUUUGCUUAUCCGCUGCCGGUGUAUAUACAUGGUGUCCUUUUUUAGACAAUACAGAUAUUUAAUUUAAAAAAAAUGUAUGAUCAUCAGACAGCUGCCGUCUUCGCAUACGUGCCUAUAGCGAGGCAGCAGUGCGAUCCUGUACAAUGGGAGCCUGUAAGAUAUCUGGUUAAGUACAAAAAUAACGUCCCUUUCCUUCUUUUUUCUGGCAGCUUCUUCCUCCCGUAUAGUGUAGCGUAGCAAACAAUGUGCAACCUCAUUAACCUUGCCGCCUUUCCUUUCUUUUUUCACUUUUUUUUUUUUACUAUAGAGUUAAAUAAUAUUUCCGUAUGUAACUUUAGAUGCAGGACACUUGUUUCUUGUAUAGAAUAACUAAUCAGAAGCGCCAGGGAACCACUUGUUACUGGUUUAUAUAACUAAACAUGGCAUUUGAAGAAUGUAUAAUUAUACUGUGAAAGCAAUGCUUUGGAUGCAACUUGAGUUUGUUAUGCUUUACUGACAUUGUCGGAUUAAUCUUUCUUUUUCUUUCUUUUUCUUUUUUUAUGAGGGUACGUGAAGUAUUAGAGCAGUAAAAGUGCAUUUAUUGUGACUUGCACGACUUGCGUGAAUGUGCAAGCAACAUUGAAACGGCGUUUCGAUUAACUUUUCUUUUUCGUCAGUAAAAUUAGGAGCAUACCGGGCAUUUUUUUUUCUCAUGGCACCGCUGUGCUUAUAAGAGAAUACUAACUCCUCCAGGAAGUUCCGGCAAUCACGCGUUGUUUAUUACCGCUUGCCGUAGCUUAUGAUGAUCGAAAUGCGCCAAUUUCGCAGGUCUGCUCAUCGAGACAUUCCGGUGCAAAGCAAAAUAUGUGCACGGCUACAAGCAGUUUAUGAAAAACAAAAAAAAACAACAAAGGAACAGUAAUGACAUCUUGAGACCUCCAACGAAAAGCGUCUGCGAACGAACCAAAUCGCAGCCCUACACAUACCAAAAAAGAAACGACAACUAAUCGAUUUCUUCCAAGCGGAAGUGCUAAAAAUAGACAAGAGGAAUGUGCGCUUCGUGCCUCUAACGUUUCAUUGCAGCGAGACACGAGGUGUACCCGAUCUAGCUCAGUAAUCCUCGGCUCAAGCGCUUCCGUUUCUGAUGCGUCACUUACGCGCCAGCUCGAGCGCACGUGGGUGGAUUCUCUGCGUUCGCCGCGCCCUCCCGACCACAUUGGAGCUGCCGAAUGUUAUUGCACUCAAUUGCUCCUGGAUCGUUCUUCGACAAAUAUCUUCCUGCUGUAAUCCGUUUUGUGUUUUUAGUUAUCCUUUUCGUUUAACACACGAUUGCUCGAUGUUGCCAUCCACGAGUGGCGCCAGCUCUUGCCUUCAACGUACACGUAGUUUACAGUAAAAGAAAAUGCAGGCACAAGGUGUAUGUCUCGUUUUUGUGAGCGACAGGAUGAAACCCAUCGCUCUAAAGACUGAGUAAAUACAGCGACUCAAGCUGAAUGGAACCGGUGAUGUUGUACAAG